rnacentral:rRNA from 1 species
GAGCGGACAGAUGGGAGCUUGCUCCCUGAUGUUAGCGGCGGACGGGUGAGUAACACGUGGGUAACCUGCCUGUAAGACUGGGAUAACUCCGGGAAACCGGGGCUAAUACCGGAUGGUUGUUUGAACCGCAUGGUUCAAACAUAAAAGGUGGCUUCGGCUACCACUUACAGAUGGACCCGCGGCGCAUUAGCUAGUUGGUGAGGUAACGGCUCACCAAGGCAACGAUGCGUAGCCGACCUGAGAGGGUGAUCGGCCACACUGGGACUGAGACACGGCCCAGACUCCUACGGGAGGCAGCAGUAGGGAAUCUUCCGCAAUGGACGAAAGUCUGACGGAGCAACGCCGCGUGAGUGAUGAAGGUUUUCGGAUCGUAAAGCUCUGUUGUUAGGGAAGAACAAGUACCGUUCGAAUAGGGCGGUACCUUGACGGUACCUAACCAGAAAGCCACGGCUAACUACGUGCCAGCAGCCGCGGUAAUACGUAGGUGGCAAGCGUUGUCCGGAAUUAUUGGGCGUAAAGGGCUCGCAGGCGGUUUCUUAAGUCUGAUGUGAAAGCCCCCGGCUCAACCGGGGAGGGUCAUUGGAAACUGGGGAACUUGAGUGCAGAAGAGGAGAGUGGAAUUCCACGUGUAGCGGUGAAAUGCGUAGAGAUGUGGAGGAACACCAGUGGCGAAGGCGACUCUCUGGUCUGUAACUGACGCUGAGGAGCGAAAGCGUGGGGAGCGAACAGGAUUAGAUACCCUGGUAGUCCACGCCGUAAACGAUGAGUGCUAAGUGUUAGGGG